AACGAACGCUGGCGGCAGGCCUAACACAUGCAAGUCGAACGCCCCGCAAGGGGAGUGGCAGACGGGUGAGUAACGCGUGGGAACGUGCCUUUCGGUUCGGAAUAGUCCCGGGAAACUGGGGUUAAUACCGGAUACGUUCUUCGGGAGAAAGAUUUAUCGCCGAAAGAUCGGCCCGCGUCUCAUUAGCUAGUUGGCGGUGUAAUGGACCACCAAGGCGACGAGAAGUAGCUGGUCUGAUAGGAUGAUCAGCCACACUGGGACUGAGACACGGCCCAGACUCCUACGGGAGGCAGCAGUGGGGAAUAUUGGACAAUGGGCGCAAGCCUGAUCCAGCCAUGCCGCGUGAGUGAUGAAGGCCCUAGGGUUGUAAAGCUCUUUCGGCGGGGACGAUAAUGACGGUACCCGCAGAAGAAGCCCCGGCUAAGUUCGUGCCAGCCGCCGCAGUAAAAC
rnacentral:rRNA from 1 species